GCCCUCGCUUCGGCAGCACAGAUACUAAAGCUGAGACAAUACAGAGAUUAGCAUGGCCCCUGUGCAAGGGUGACACUCAAACUCAUGAAGCGCUCCAUACUUCU
ensembl:snRNA U6 U6 spliceosomal RNA